rnacentral:rRNA from 1 species
UACCAGCACCCCGAGUGGUCGGGACGUUUAUUGGGCCUAAAGCAUCCGUAGCCGGUUCUGCAAGUCUUCCGUUAAAUCCACCUGCUUAACAGAUGGGCUGCGGAAGAUACUAUAGAGCUAGGAGGCGGGAGAGGCAAGCGGUACUCGAUGGGUAGGGGUAAAAUCCGUUGAUCCAUUGAAGACCACCAGUGGCGAAGGCGGCUUGCCAGAAUGCGCUCGACGGUGAGGGAUGAAAGCUGGGGGAGCAAACCGG